GCAAGGAAUUUUCGGCAAUGGGCGAGAGCCUGACCGAGCAACGCCGCGUGCAGGAUGACGGCCUUCGGGUUGUAAACUGCUUUUGGAUGGGAAGAUAAUGACGGUACCAUCCGAAUAAGCCCCGGCUAACUCCGUGCCAGCAGCCGCGGUAAGACGGAGGGGGCAAGCGUUGUCCGGACUCACUGGGCGUAAAGGGUGCGUAGGCGGUUGUCUGCGUCCGCGCUGAAAUCCCACAGCUUAACUGUGGGGCGCGUGCGGAUACGAGAUAACUCGAGGCAUGGAGAGGACAGGAGAAUUCCUGGUGUAGUGGUGAAAUGCGUAGAUAUCAGGAGGAAUACCUGUGGCGCAAGCGCCUGUCUGGCCAUGACCUGACGCUGUGGCACGAAAGCGUGGGGAGCAAACAGGAUUAGAUACCCCAGUAGUCC
rnacentral:rRNA from 1 species